UACGUAGGGUGCAAGCGUUGUCCGGAAUUAUUGGGCGUAAAGAGCUCGUAGGCGGUCUGUCACGUCGGCUGUGAAAACUCGGGGCUCAACCCCGAGCCUGCAGUCGAUACGGGCAGACUAGAGUCCGGCAGGGGAGACUGGAAUUCCUGGUGUAGCGGUGGAAUGCGCAGAUAUCGGAAGGAACACCAGUGGCGAAAGCGGCUUCCUGGUCCAGCACCGACGUUCAGGCACGAAAGCGUGGGGAGCAAACAGG
rnacentral:rRNA from 1 species